rnacentral:tRNA from 1 species
AAGGGAGACCUAAUUCAGGUGUGGGACGAAAAAAAAGUAGUCGCUACCAAGAAUCAAUCCCAAAAGGUCGGAGCGAGGUAUGAGGCUUUCAAACUAGGUUCUGGGUUCACACAAGACCUGAAUCAGGAACAAGGGCUAUUAGCUCAGGUGGUUAGAGCGCACCCCUGAUAAGGGUGAGGUCCCUGGUUCGAGUCCAGGAUGGCCCACCUGCACAGGUGGCAAAAACAAGAGAAGCGAGGAAUCAGCACCUUAUCUUAUCUAUAUAUAAGAGAGAAUGCUGGCUCUGAGUAAAGAGUCCAGAGGAACCUUGAAAACUGCAUAGAGCUAGGUGAAAAAGCCAAAAAAGAAGACCGCAA